AAAACUACAGAAACUCCAGUCAAUCAUACACAAUCCCUAAUCGAAGUGAUGAAAAUGAUGAGUGUACCUGAAGCAGGCCCCAAACAAAAAAUAGUUUACUCCACCAAGACGAUUCAUUUCAGUCCACCAAGCUAAGAAGUUUAGUCCACCAUUUCACAUCCGUCCGAGUAAUGAGUAAACUAAGAAGAAGAACAGAGAAAAAGAGGGAGGGAGAUGAAAUUGAGUUCAGUUAUUGAUCACAACAUUGAUGUUUGGUGCUUACACAGAGAUGCAGAGGAAACUGUGCUCAGAUGGGAAGACUUUGAAAGGGGAUUGUUUGGUGGUUAAUCGUCUUCGAAAAUCCAACAGUGCAUGUUUUCACUUAACUAUCUACCUUAUACGCAGUUUCUCUGUAAAUGUAAUAACAAUAAUUUUUCAAUAAUAAAUAAAGAAUAUCUGAGAAUUUUUCAGUAAA